rnacentral:rRNA from 1 species
UCGCCAGGGAACUACGAGCUAUGCUUAAAACCCAAGGGACUUGACGGUACCCCAAAUCCACCUAGAGGAGCCUGUCCUAUAAUCGAUAACCCCCGCUUAACCUCACCAUUUUUUGUAAAUCAGCCUGUAUACCUCCGUCGUCAGCUUACCAUGUGAACGUUUUAUAGUGAGCUUAACGCUUAUUCACCAGUACGUCAGGUCAAGGUGCAGCUAAUGAAAUGGAUAGAGAUGGGCUACACUUUCUAACAUAGAAUAUACGAAAGAUUACCUAUGAAAUCUAAUCUGAAGGCGGAUUUAGAAGUAAAAAGAAACCAGAGUGUUCUUUUUAACUCGGCACUGGGGUGUGU